CUGGAGGAACGAAGCGCUGGGGGAAACGACAUUAUUCCAGAAUGAAACUCCUCCGUACGCCGAGCUCCCGCGGUUGUCCUCCGGUCGUUGCUUAGUUGCUGCCGCUGUUGUCAAAUUCAACAGAAUCGCGGAGCACAUCCGUGUUACGCGCAUGCGCCAAAGCAACCUUCAGUCAAACGUGUAUGCGGGCUAUCCGGUUGAUUAAAUUGCUGCAGAAGGAGACCUGAUGUCACAUCAGUCAUGCUCUCCCAUCUCUCUUGGGAAAUGAGACGUGCGAGAGGUGAAAGAUAGAGGGAGGUGUGAUGGCAGGAUGAUGGUGACAACAACAACAACGAAAAAGAUGACCAAUAUGCCUAUAUGAACCAACAUGAACCCAUGUCACAAGGAGAAAUGUUGAAAUCUUUACACUUGUGUCAAAUUAGAAAACAGUAAAUUUAUUACUUAUGGGUUUCUAUGACCACUACAGUUUAAUUCAAGAUGAAAGAAUAGUGCAUUAAAUUAGGUGUUGAGGGCGGAAAGGAAGGUGUGAAUAGGUCUGCAAGGACGACAGGCUCAUUUUUAUUCCCUUCAUUGCGUUAUCUGGGUCAUUGCUUCCUCCUCCUCUUCUUCCUCCCCCUCUACAUCAAUGUCAUCUUCCCUUGCACCCCUUUCUGCUCCCAGUUAUUGUUCAUCCAAUAAGUCUUAGAAAUAAAAUCACAGGAUAAGAAUGAGAAACAAAAAAUGCAAAAUGAAAGCAAGUGAUUAGAGAAAAAAAUGGUGGUAGCGUUGCACUUGAAAAGCAUAAAAAGGAAAAGUGACGUAUUAUAGAGUGGUGAAAGACAGAGAAAUAGGAAGUACAUAUUAGAGAAUGAUGCAUAUGAGAUGAGAUAGGAAGAAAUAAUUGCAAAUAAAGAAGAGACGGGGUGAUUGAUGAGUCUCCUUCCCGCAUCCUCCCCUUUCCCAUAUGCAGCACUGCAGUUUGGACGUAUCAGUGUGUGUGUGUGUGUGUGUGUGUGUGUGUGUGUGUGUGUGUGUGCGUGCGUGCGUGCGUGUGUGUGUGUGUGUGUGUGUGUGUGUGUGUGAGUAAGUGAGCUGCUGCAUACAAAUCAUUUCACUAAAAUUGUAGUUGUAAUUCGUCUAAAUUCAAAACCUGUAUUUGGAUGUGUACAGAAAUGUCCUUACUUUACUGUAGGCGCAGUUCAUCUCUCUUUCUUGGGUCAUAAAACACAAAUUACAUUGUCAGAAUAAUGUGAAUGUGCAAAGGAGUCAAGGAGGGGGCGAAGGAGAAAGACAGAAAAUGCUUUUGCUUUGCAGACAGGUGGUCCAAGCGGGCAGGGAGCGGUUUAGAAAGCAAAUGUGUAGAAGGAAACAAGAUUAGGAUUAGAUUAGAGGAUGAGUCUGCUUCAGGGACUUAAUGUCAAGACUGAGACAAUGGGACUAAAAACAAUCCUCCUUGUAAUUAAAGCUCUGCUCCCCACAAGAGAUUGGAUCGCAGGCGCCUGUGUGUGUGUGUGUGUGUGUGUGUGUGUGUGUGUGUGUGUGUGUGUGUGUGUGUAGAAAUAAAAACCUUUAGAUUUGGUUUCACUACUUACAGAUCCCAUGUUUAAAUGUAUGUCUGCGCAUUUUGUUGAUUCACCUACAUUUAUUUACCCGUAAACGUAAAAACCCCUCACAUUGUUGUCACAGCUUGGAUUACAGUUCAUCAGCAUCCUGAGUCCACACCCAGAGCGAACCCCCUCACCAGCCUCCUCGUGGAGCUCCAGUCCCCCCGGUGGUGAACUCCAGUCAAAACAAGCUGCUCUGGCUUAAUGACAUGAUGCUCCUGAACCAACAGGGGGGGGUGUGACCCUGUUAUAAAUCAGCUUAUACUUUAGGAAGGCAUGUUGAUUAAAAAUGUUUUUGAAGGCAGAUGGAAAGAUCAGACCCCCAAACAUAUAACACUGGAGAAAAAAGCAUGUUAGGAAAUAGUUUUUUAAUAGAUUUAAUGAACAGGUCAAAAUAUGGUGAGUAAAGUCAUUCCAGCCUAUUAUGUAUGUAUUUUUCAGUUGUGCUGUAGCCGGCAGGUACUAUAGUAAUAUAUUUAACAAUGCAUCAAAGAUUCUCAGUGACCCCAAUAAUAUCUCCCCAACUAAAAAGACGAAUAUUUCUUACAUAACUUAGAAAAUUAAAUAACACUGAAACAUACCUGGAGACCCAAGUUAUCGUUAAAGCAUUUAAAUGUUGUCUUAAUUAAAUUAAGGAUUAAACAAUAUUUUUGCUGAAUAAAUAAAACUUCAAACUAAAGGGAAUUUCACAGUUUAGUUUACAGUGGAUGCUUGGUUUUGACACAUGCAUUUCUGUGACACUAUUACAAUAAAGCAGCUGUUUGUGAAGUCUGUA